GUUCAGUCUACUGCUGCACUUAGUAUCAGUAGGAGCAGCUUGGUCUUGUGAUACUUUGGUCUGCCUAGGAACAGGCAUCUCCUUCUGUGGUGGUUCACUCCCAAAUGCUGUGGAAAACCUACCUCUCUAUUUGCAGUAAAACUUGAUCCACCUUUGAACAUCCAGAGCAACAUUACUGCCAGCAAGUGUUGGAUAUGGUGGACUGUCCCUUCCUACCUCGAUGAAAUCCUCCAGUACCAGUUGCAGUACAAGGAGUACAGCACAUCAUGGGAGGCUGCGCUGAACAAGACACCACCCAGUUCACUACCACAAAUAGAGAUUGAAGGCACAGAAUUUCGCAGUGGCAUCCCAUACAUUGCACGUGUUCGCUGCAAAGUUUCUGAAAUUGAGGAUUCAUACCACAGUCAGUGGAGUGACUGGAGCCAGACAACGGUAUUUCAAAGAGAAGGUGUAUCAGAACUGUCUGAAAAACUCUUUGAUACCAAAACAUUGCAGUUCUUGAUCAUUCCUCUGACUUUUGGCACCCUACUCUAUUUAUUUUGGAACUUAAAGCUUUCUUCAAGGUAUGUUAUGAUACUUCAUUAAGUUCUCCUUGAUCUUCAUAGUCUGAAGAGGGUAUAUUAAGUGUGCUUAUAUCUGUUUUUGCUUUCUACUUUUGCUGCACAAUCAGAUUCUAACAUUUCCAAAAGCUCUUGACAAUCUCAGGACAUGAUGUGAUCCUUGGCUAAUGAGAAUUAAUGACCCACUCCUUUAUCAUUAAGGAGACCAAAACACCUUCUUGGCAUACAAGCUCAGCUAACAGUCAAGGCUGAGGGUCUCUUGGACUUAAAAAGAUUUAUACCCAUGGAUAUUUUGAGUCGUUUCAUGUAGAUAAAUCAAAAGUGCAAGUGUACAGCAGUCCCUGAAGGACAGUUAAAGUGGUACAGAGGUUAAGCUUUUCAUGAUGUACCUAAUAGUAGUCAGUAUGUAAAAUAUCAAUAUAGGCAAACUACAGAAAUUAGUGUAUGUAAAACCUUGGUUCAGCCACUCUUCUUUCUUUUAUGCUGGUAACACAAAAGCCUUUUCUACCUUGAUGUGCAUCUGUUAUGUUCCACAUGCAUGUUAUUCUCAGAGAGACAGAAUACAUUGUGUCCAUAUGAUAAAAUAUUUGUGUAAGAUAGGCUCUAAUAAAUGGAUGAUGAUAUAUAGCA
rnacentral:lncRNA from 1 species